GGCCUCCUGGUGUUUACCACAGGUUGUGUUCUUACUGUGUAGAAAGAGGAGGCAAAGUAAAUCUACCCCAUACACACCUGGGCCCAGGCCCUGUGCUUGAUCUCUACUGUGAAUGGGGAAGUGUGA
rnacentral:snoRNA from 1 species